rnacentral:rRNA from 1 species
UGAGGAAUAUUGGACAAUGGGCGCAAGCCUGAUCCAGCCAUGCCGCGUGCAGGAAGAAGCAUCUAUGGUGUGUAAACUGCUUUUGUACGGGAAGAAACACUCCUUCGUGAAGGAGCUUGACGGUACCGUAAGAAUAAGGAUCGGCUAACUCCGUGCCAGCAGCCGCGGUAAUACGGAGGAUCCAAGCGUUAUCCGUAAUCAUUGGGUUUAAAGGGUCCGUAGGCGGUUUAGUAAGUCAGUGGUGAAAGCCCAUCGCUCAACGAUGGAACGGCCAUUGAUACUGCUAGACUUGAAUUAUUAGGAAGUGACUAGAAUAUGUAGUGUAGCGGUGAAAUGCUUAGAUAUUACAUGGAAUACAAAUUGCGAUGGCAGGUUACUACUUGUGGAUUGACGCUGAUGGACGAAAGCGUGGGGAGCGAACA